rnacentral:lncRNA from 1 species
GUUAUAGUUAUGUAGAGAUGAAUGCCAGCUGUCUCUGUGUGUGUGUGUGUAGGAGCUGGGUUAUAGUUAUGUAGAGAUGAAUGCCAGCUGUCUCUGUGUGUGUGUGUAGGAGCUGGGUUAUAGUUAUGUAGAGAUGAAUGCCAGCUGUCUCUGUGUGUGUGUGUAGGAGCUGGGUUAUAGUUAUGUAGAGAUGAAUGCCAGCUGUCUCUGUGUGUGUGUGUGUAGGAGCUGGGUUAUAGUUAUGUAGAGAUGAAUGCCAGCUGUCUCUGUGUGUGUGUAGGAGCUGGGUUAUAGUUAUGUAGAGAUGAAUGCCAGCUCUGUCUCUGUGUGUGUGUGUGUGUGAGCUGGGUUAUAGUUAUGUAGAGAUGAAUGCCAGCUGUCUCUGUGUGUGUGUGUAGGAGCUGGGUUAUAGUUAUGUAGAGAUGAAUGCCAGCUGUCUCUGUGUGUGUGUGUGUAGGAGCUGGGUUAUAGUUAUGUAGAGAUGAAUGCCAGCUGUCUCUGUGUGUGUGUGUGUGUAGGAGCUGGGUUAUAGUUAUGUAGAGAUGAAUGCCAGCUCUGUCUCUGUGUGUGUGUGUGUAGGAGCUGGGUUAUAGUUAUGUAGAGAUGAAUGCCAGCUGUCUCUGUGUGUGUGUGUGUAGGAGCUGGGUUAUAGUUAUGUAGAGAUGAAUGCCAGCUGUCUCUGUGUGUGUGUGUAGGAGCUGGGUUAUAGUUAUGUAGAGAUGAAUGCCAGCUGUCUCUGUGUGUGUGUGUAGGAGCUGGGUUAUAGUUAUGUAGAGAUGAAUGCCAGCUGUCUCUCUGUGUGUGUAGGAGCUGGGUUAUAGUUAUGUAGAGAUGAAUGCCAGCUCUGUCUCUGUGUGUGUGUGUAGGAGCUGGGUUAUAGUUAUGUAGAGAUGAAUGCCAGCUGUCUCUGUGUGUGUGUGUGUAGGAGCUGGG